rnacentral:rRNA from 1 species
GAUGAACGCUGGCGGCGUGCCUAAUACAUGCAAGUCGAGCGAACGGACGAGAAGCUUGCUUCUCUGAUGUUAGCGGCGGACGGGUGAGUAACACGUGGAUAACCUACCUAUAAGACUGGGAUAACUUCGGGAAACCGGAGCUAAUACCGGAUAAUAUUUUGAACCGCAUGGUUCAAAAGUGAAAGACGGUCUUGCUGUCACUUAUAGAUGGAUCCGCGCUGCAUUAGCUAGUUGGUAAGGUAACGGCUUACCAAGGCAACGAUGCAUAGCCGACCUGAGAGGGUGAUCGGCCACACUGGAACUGAGACACGGUCCAGACUCCUACGGGAGGCAGCAGUAGGGAAUCUUCCGCAAUGGGCGAAAGCCUGACGGAGCAACGCCGCGUGAGUGAUGAAGGUCUUCGGAUCGUAAAACUCUGUUAUUAGGGAAGAACAUAUGUGUAAGUAACUGUGCACAUCUUGACGGUACCUAAUCAGAAAGCCACGGCUAACUACGUGCCAGCAGCCGCGGUAAUACGUAGGUGGCAAGCGUUAUCCGGAAUUAUUGGGCGUAAAGCGCGCGUAGGCGGUUUUUUAGUCUGAUGUGAAAGCCCACGGCUCAACCGUGGAGGGUCAUUGGAAACUGGAAAACUUGAGUGCAGAAGAGGAAAGUGGAAUUCCAUGUGUAGCGGUGAAAUGCGCAGAGAUAUGGAGGAACACCAGUGGCGAAGGCGACUUUCUGGUCUGUAACUGACGCUGAUGUGCGAAAGCGUGGGGAUCAAACAGGAUUAGAUACCCUGGUAGUCCACGCCGUAAACGAUGAGUGCUAAGUGUUAGGGGGUUUCCGCCCCUUAGUGCUGCAGCUAACGCAUUAAGCACUCCGCCUGGGGAGUACGACCGCAAGGUUGAAACUCAAAGGAAUUGACGGGGACCCGCACAAGCGGUGGAGCAUGUGGUUUAAUUCGAAGCAACGCGAAGAACCUUACCAAAUCUUGACACCCUUUGACAACUCUAGAGAUAGAGCCUUCCCCUUCGGGGGACAAAGUGACAGGUGGUGCAUGGUUGUCGUCAGCUCGUGUCGUGAGAUGUUGGGUUAAGUCCCGCAACGAGCGCAACCCUUAAGCUUAGUUGCCAUCAUUAAGUUGGGCACUCUAAGUUGACUGCCGGUGACAAACCGGAGGAAGGUGGGGAUGACGUCAAAUCAUCAUGCCCCUUAUGAUUUGGGCUACACACGUGCUACAAUGGACAAUACAAAGGGCAGCGAAACCGCGAGGUCAAGCAAAUCCCAUAAAGUUGUUCUCAGUUCGGAUUGUAGUCUGUAACUCGACUACAUGAAGCUGGAAUCGCUAGUAAUCGUAGAUCAGCAUGCUACGGUGAAUACGUUCCCGGGUCU